GAUGAAGAACGCAGCGAAAUGCGAUAAGUAAUGUGAAUUGCAGAAUUCAGUGAAUCAUCGAAUCUUUGAACGCACAUUGCGCCCCCUGGUAUUCCGGGGGGCAUGCCUGUUCGAGCGUCAUUUCACCACUCAAGCCUCGCUUGGUAUUGGGCAACGCGGUCCGCCGCGUGCCUCAAAUCGUCCGGCUGGGUCUUCUGUCCCCUAAGCGUUGUGGAAACUAUUCACUAAAGGGUGUUCGGGAGGCUACGCCGUAAAACAACCCCAUUUCUAAGGUUGACCUCGGAUCAGGUAGGGAUACCCGCUGAACUUAAGCAUAUCAAUAAGCGGAGGA
rnacentral:misc_RNA from 1 species